rnacentral:rRNA from 1 species
GACGAACGCUGGCGGCGUGCUUAACACAUGCAAGUCGAACGGUAAGGCCCUUCGGGGUACACGAGUGGCGAACGGGUGAGUAACACGUGGGUGAUCUGCCCUGCACUUCGGGAUAAGCCUGGGAAACUGGGUCUAAUACCGGAUAGGACCACUGCCUGCAUGGGUGGUGGUGGAAAGCUUUUGCGGUGUGGGAUGGGCCCGCGGCCUAUCAGCUUGUUGGUGGGGUGAUGGCCUACCAAGGCGACGACGGGUAGCCGGCCUGAGAGGGUGACCGGCCACACUGGGAGUGAGAUACGGCCCAGACUCCUACGGGAGGCAGCAGUGGGGAAUAUUGCACAAUGGGCGCAAGCCUGAUGCAGCGACGCCGCGUGAGGGAUGACGGCCUCCGGGUUGUAAACCUCUUUUAGCACCGACGAAGCGCAAGUGACGGUAGGUGCAGAAGAAGGACCGGCCAACUACGUGCCAGCCGCCGUAAUAC